rnacentral:lncRNA from 1 species
CUCUUUUUCAAUAUCUUUUGUGUCAUUUUAUUUAGUUUUUUUUAAGGCACAUACUUAAAUAUAUAUCUACAUACCACUUUACAUUUAUAUCGAUUCUGCCACUGUGUUUCACCCUGUACAACAGAGCGAGACCCCAUCUCUAUUAACAACAAAACAAAACAAAAGCAAUUCGUCUCAUACAGGACCCCUAUAUCUUUAUUGUGCUUGAAAAAUGGAUCUUUGGACUCACUGCACUGACAUAGGCUGAAUGCAAUAGUAGGUUAAUGUUUUACUGACACCAAUGAGUAGCUAAGCAGGAUACUCCAGAUUUUUAAUUGAUGAAAAGACACGAAUAUAGAACAAAAAAAUAAUCAGCCAGAAGACAUAGGCAGAAGAAAUUGCUUUCUAAUUUCCUCUUAUCCAUGACUUUUCACAAAAAGCACAGAAUCAUAAAUUCUAUUGGGUUUUUAACAGAAAACAUGGAGUCUUCACUUUGACCAAUGACUGUCUACUCCUUCCUUCUAUAGCAUUCCCCCUCCUGCUGCAUGUCUCAGUCUAACUGGUCAUUGAUAGUGGCAGGAGACAGACAAAUUCCUAGGCCGACAGGGUUGGGUUCCUGGUGAAACCCAGCCUUCAAAUCAAAGACAAUUUAAAGCCUGAAAACCGACCUGCUGAUUCCAGAUAGAGUCUACAACCAGAGACACGGCUUUACCUCCUUCUCCAGAGGAUGCAACAAUAAGGCACCAUCUUGGAAGCAGAAAGCAGCCCUCACCAGACACCAAAUCUGCCAGCACCUUGAUCUUGGAUUUCCCAGACUCCAGAACUGUGAGAAAUAAAUUUUUAUUUUUUAUCAAUGAGCCAGUCUAAGGUAUUUUGUUAUAGCAACGCAAACGGACCAAGAUAAUUACCUUUUUUUACUAGAAUAUUUGUUACCUGAGCAUGAAGUUUUAUCUUUCUUUACUGCCUUUUACAUAGGAGGUAAUCAAAUGUGUCCUGAAUUCAGGUUAUUAAAUUAUAUAAUGAAUUAGAUUAUAUUGCCACUGUGUUGUCUCUUUUCACCAAAAUCUACUAAUAAAUAGUUAUGUUAAGAAAUUAAAUAUAUUGCCAGGUGCGGUGGCUCACGCUGUAAUCCCAGCACUUUGGGAAGCUGAGGCGGGCGGAUCACAAGGUCAGAAGUUCAAGACCAGCCUGGCCAAGAGACCAGCCUGGUCAAUAUGGUGAAACCCUAUCUCUACUAAAAA